GCCUUGCGCUCGAGGAAGGUCUUGCCGCCCUUCAUCUUGUGGGUCAACGGCGCUUCAUUGAUCUGCACCGUCACGGCCUCCGCAUCGACGCCGAGGUUCUUGACCAGCGCCUGGGUGAUGUCGAGCAUCAUGCCCUUCUUCUGCUCGUCGGUGCGUCCGGCGGCCAUGUUCACGGUUACCUCAGGCAUGUUCGUUUCCCUUUUUCUUGGCGACAGAAAUUGUCAGGCGUGAAACUUCAAUCCAUCGACGAUCUUGUCAACCACCUUGCGCUCGGCGCGGAACGCCAGCCCGACCAGAUUGAGAUCGGCGCGGAUGACGGCCUGCACCGCGGCGCGGUUGGCUUCGUCAUGCGUGGUCUUGAACAUGUCCUCGGUAUAGACGGCGGGCUUGACGUCGCGCGCCAGUGCCCGUUCGAGCGCCCGCGACAGCGCGGGCCGGUCCGCGCCAUAGAUCAGGAUCGGCUGACCGAUCAGCGCGUGAUAGCGCGUGCCGGAUUUGUCCUCAUAAGGCUCGCCGAUACAUUCGGGAAACGCCGCCG
rnacentral:misc_RNA from 1 species